CCGAGUUAGGGUUUGCCUUUUUAGGUGCCCGACCUCCCAACCCUUUGUCUAUGAUACCUAUUGUUGCUUCGGCGCGCCCGAGGGGUCGUACCCUCGCCUGGACUCGUGCCGGGAGCGUGGCCGCCGAUGGCCCAAUUUAAAACUAUUGAACCCAAACCUGUCGUCUGAAAACGUUAUGAUUUAUAAUCAAAAACA
rnacentral:misc_RNA from 1 species